UAUUUUUUAAAAAUUUGUCACUUCUAAAUUCUAAUACAAUUGUAUUUCUGUUAUAGCAGGAUUAGAUUUGGUAACAGAUGGUAAAACUGCAAAACUGCCUCUGCUUCAUUAGAGCCCCUGGCAAGACUCCUAUAAGGGGCUGCACAGAGAUCAGUGAAUCAUUGCCUGUGGAUCAUCCUGGGGUCAACUGCAUGAAAAUGACAUAAGUGUAUUUCCUAACAGGAACUGGCUUCAAACUAUAGUUUCAAGACCUAUUACUUCUGAAGUCAGAGGAACAAUUCCCGGGAGUUAUUUGUGAGUCUCCCUGCUUCCACCUUGGCUAACUUGAUAGGGAUUUAAUGUGAGAGUUAAUGUGAGUAGUGAACACUUGCUUGAUGGCAUGGCAAAGGCUUCUUUGGACAGGAUGCAGAGAAGGCUAUACCAUGCUUACUAAUGGGUUAUGUAAGGAUUUGCAGUAACAUGUCCCUUGAUGGGAGAAAGUAGGAAUAAAAUAGGAUUUUAGGGACUAUAUUAAUAAUGAAUGACAGGAUAGUAGUUAAUAGAUGUCUAUCUGUAAUUCUAUUCUACUACAAAUGCAGGGGAAACUUCAUUUACUGUGGAAAGAUUCUCAUUUUUCCAGAGCUGUAAUGCAGCGUGCAGUUAAAAUUAGGCUGUCUCAUUAAUUGUCAAAGUAUAUGGUGGAAUUACAGCAGCCAGCUUCAGCGCAGGAUUAGAUAUGCCUCUGCAGGGGAGAUCUUGCAGAAAGGCCCAAGGUGGGAGUGCAGCUCCAUCAGGACCCCUUUGAUGAAACCACUCCCUGGGAAGAGGGGUGCCUGUGGGCAGGGGAAAGCCGGUGUGGUGGCUCUCCUCCUUUCUCUCUCAGUCUGCUCAGGCUUUGUUGGAGCACCCAGAGCACUGUCCAUGGAGUGCUCAUGAGCAAAGCAUGUCCCGCAUCAGAUGGCUGCAGAAUAUGCUCCGCUUGUGAAAGGUGAUGAGUACCUGUGCCCACUCCCCAAUACUUGCCCCAAUUCCUGAGCUUAGCUGUACUGGGCCAGGGUAAAGGAUGAGCAGAAAUCAUCCCAGCCUCUAAGCCUCAAGACAAUAUGGUUAUUCAGAAACUAGGAUCCCAUAAGAUUUCUCAUGCCUACGGGAUGUAGUUUAUAUGGAGAAAAAUCAGUUUACAGGAAU